rnacentral:rRNA from 1 species
CCUACGGGGGGCUGCAGUGAGGAAUAUUGGUCAAUGGGCGUAAGCCUGAACCAGCCAAGUCGCGUGAGGGAUGAAGGUUCUAUGGAUCGUAAACCCCUUUUAUAAGGGAAUAAAGUGUGGGACGUGUCCUAUUUUGUAUGUACCUUAUGAAUAAGGAUCGGCGAACUCAGUGCCAGCAGCCGCGGUAAUACGGAGGUUCCGAGCGUUAUCCGGAUUUAUUGGGUUUAAAGGGUGCGUAGGCGGGCUUGUAAGUCAGAGGUGAAAGUCUGUGGCUCAACCAUAGAAUUGCCGUUGAAACUGGGGGGCUUGAGUAUGUGUGAGGCAGGCGGAAUGCGUGGUGUAGCGGUGAAAUGCUUAGAUAUCACGCGGAACCCCAAUUGCGAAGGCGGCCUGCCAGGCCAUGACUGACGCUGAUGCACGAAAGCGUGGGGAUCAAACAGGAUUAGAUACCCGGGUAGUC